rnacentral:rRNA from 1 species
AUUGAACGCUGGCGGCAUGCUUUACACAUGCAAGUCGAACGGUAACGGGGAGCUUGCUCCGCUGACGAGUGGCGAACGGGUGAGUAAUGCGUCGGAACGUGCCGAGUAGUGGGGGAUAACGCAGCGAAAGUUGUGCUAAUACCGCAUACGUACUGAGGUAGAAAGUGGGGGACCUUCGGGCCUCACGCUAUUCGAGCGGCCGACGUCUGAUUAGCUAGUAGGUGAGGUAAAGGCUCACCUAGGCGACGAUCAGUAGCGGGUCUGAGAGGAUGAUCCGCCACACUGGGACUGAGACACGGCCCAGACUCCUACGGGAGGCAGCAGUGGGGAAUUUUGGACAAUGGGCGAAAGCCUGAUCCAGCCAUGCCGCGUGUCUGAAGAAGGCCUUCGGGUUGUAAAGGACUUUUGUCGGGGAGGAAAUCCCCAGCGCUAAUACCGCUGGGGGAUGACAGUACCUGAAGAAUAAGCACCGGCUAACUACGUGCCAGCCGCCGCCGUAAAAC